rnacentral:rRNA from 1 species
GAUGAACGCUGGCGGCGUGCCUAAUACAUGCAAGUCGAGCGAAUGGAUUAAGAGCUCGCUCUUAUGAAGUUAGCGGCGGACGGGUGAGUAACACGUGGGUAACCUGCCCAUAAGACUGGGAUAACUCCGAGAAACCGGCGCUAAUAUCGGAUAACAUUUUGAACCGCAUGGUUCGAAAUUGAACGGAGGAUUCGGCUGACAACUAUCGAUGGACCAGCGUCGCAUUAGCUAGUUGGUGCGGUAACGGCUCACCAAGGCAACGAUGCGUAGCCGCCCUGGGAGGGUGGUCGGCCACACUGGGACUGAGACACGGCCCAGACUCCUACGGGAGGCAGCAGUAGGGAAUCUUCCGCAAUGGACGAAAGUCUGACGGAGCAACGCCGCGUGAUUGAUGACGGCUUUCGGGUCGUAAAACUCUGUUGUUAGGGAAGAACAAGUGCUAGUUGAAGAAGCUGACACUUUGACGGUACCUACCAGAAAGCCACGGCUAACUACGUGCCAGCAGCCGCCGUAA